rnacentral:rRNA from 1 species
GAUGAACGCUAGCGGCAGGCUUAACACAUGCAAGUCGUGGGGCAGCGCGGACUUCGGUCUGGCGGCGACCGGCAAACGGGUGCGGAACACGUACGCAACCUCCCUCAGAGCGGGGAAUAGCCUCUCGAAAGAGAGAUUAAUACCCCAUAGUAUCUUGAAGACACAUGUCUAUGAGAUUAAAGCUUCGGCACUUUGAGAUGGGCGUGCGGCUGAUUAGGUAGUUGGUAGGGUAACGGCCUACCAAGCCGACGAUCAGUAGCUGAUGUGAGAGCAUGAUCAGCCACACGGGCACUGAGACACGGGCCCGACUCCUACGGGAGGCAGCAGUGAGGAAUAUUGGUCAAUGGAGGAAACUCUGAACCAGCCAUGCCGCGUGGAGGAUGAAGGUCCUCUGGAUUGUAAACUCCUUUUAUAAAAGAAGAAACCCCAUUUUCUAAAUGGGUGACGGUACUUUAUGAAUAAGCACCGGCUAACUCCGUGCCAGCAGCCGCGGU